UAGUCAUGUAUUUCAAUUUCUCUUUAUUACAGAACUCCUCUCCAUGCAGCUGCCUUCACAGACCAUGUCGAGUGUUUGCAGCUGCUGCUCAGCCAUAAUGCUCAAGUCAAUUCUGUGGACUCUACUGGGAAAACACCUCUUAUGAUGGCUGCAGAAAAUGGACAAACAAAUACAGUUGAGAUGCUGGUUAGCAGUGCUAGUGCAGAUCUGACUUUACAAGAUAACAGUAAAAAUACUGCCCUCCAUUUGGCUUGUAGCAAGGGUCAUGAAACUAGUGCCUUGUUAAUACUGGAAAAGAUAACAGAUAGAAACCUCAUCAAUGCAACCAAUGCAGCCUUGCAAACGUGAGUACUGUCAGUGUCUAGUGUAAACUUUGUGACCUAUAAUUAUAAAAAUGAUAAAUGGAUUUUUUUUAAACAUGUGACUAUUGAAAUAGGUAUCAUUAGUCAUAGAAGCAAUUUCAGUAAGUUUUACAACUGUCCAAAUUCAUUUCUAAAAUCAUCACAACUAAAAGGCAUAUUAUUUAAAAUGCUUUUGAACUGAAACUUUAUUACAACAUUGACAAUAAUGUAUUAUUUCCUUAAUCCACCUACCAAAUUUUCUCAAGAAAAUUAGUACUAUUU